rnacentral:rRNA from 1 species
GGUAACCUACCUAUAACGACCUGGGACAACCUUCGGGACAACCCGGAGCUAAUACCGGAUAACUAUGUUGAACCGCAUGGUCUCAACUACGUGAACAGACUGGUUUUGCUACUCACUUAUAGAUGGACCCCGCGCCGUAUUAGCUAGUUGGUGAGUGUAACGGUCACCAAGGCAACGAUACGUAGCCGACCUGAGAGGGUGAUCGGCCACACUGGAACUGAGACACGGUCCAGACUCCUACGGGAGGCAGCAGUAGGGAAUCUUCCGCAAUGGGCGAAAGCCUGACGGAGCAACGCCGCGUGAGUGAUGAAGGUCUUAGGAUCGUAAAACUCUGUUAUUAGGGAAGAACAACAACGUGUAAGUAACUGUGCACGUCUUGACGGUACCUAAUCAGAAAGCCACGGCUAACUACGUGCCAGCAGCCGCGGUAAUACGUAGGUGGCAAGCGUUAUCCGGAAUUAUUGGGCGUAAAGCGCGCGUAGGCGGUUUUUUAAGUCUGAUGUGAAAGCCCACGGCUCAAUCUGGAGGGUCAUUGGAAACUGGAAAACUUGAGUGCAGAAGAGGAAAGUGGAAUUCCAUGUGUAGCGGUGAAAUGCGCAGAGAUAUGGAGGAACACCAGUGGCGAAGGCGACUUUCUGGUCUGUAACUGACGCUGAUGUGCGAAAGCGUGGGGAUCAAACAGGAUUAGAUACCCUGGUAGUCCACGCCGUAAACGAUGAGUGCUAAGUGUUAGGGGGUUUCCGCCCCUUAGUGCUGCAGCUACGCAUUAAGCACUCCGCCUGG